rnacentral:rRNA from 1 species
UACGUAGGUGGCAAGCGUUGUCCGGAAUUAUUGGGCGUAAAGAGCUCGUAGGCGGUUUGUCGCGUCUGCCGUGAAAGUCCGGGGCUCAACCCCGGAUCUGCGGUGGGUACGGGCAGACUUGAGUGCAGUAGGGGAGACUGGAAUUCCUGGUGUAGCGGUGAAAUGCGCAGAUAUCAGGAGGAACACCGAUGGCGAAGGCAGGUCUCUGGGCUGUAACUGACGCUGAGGAGCGAAAGCAUGGGGAGCGAACAGG